rnacentral:rRNA from 1 species
GAAUAAGAGGUCCUGCCUGCCCCGUGACCAUGAGUUUAACGGCCGCGGUAUUUUGACCGUGCAAAGGUAGCGCAAUCACUUGUCUUUUAAAUAAAGACCCGUAUGAACGGCAAGACGAGGGCUUGACUGUCUCCUUUUUCAAGUCAAUGAAAUUGAUCUUCCCGUGCAGAAGCGGGAAUUUUUACAUAAGACGAGAAGACCCUAUGGAGCUUUAGACACCAAGACAGACCACGUCAAACCCCCUAACAAAGAAUUAAACUAACUGAAUCCUGUCCUAAUGUCUUUGGUUGGGGCGACCACGGGGAACCACAAAACCCCCGCGUGGAUUGAGAACACUUCUAUUCCCACAACUAAGAGCUUCUGCUCUAAUUAACAGAAAUUCUGACCAGUAAUGACCCGGCAACGCCGAUCAACGAACCGAGUUACCCUAGGGAUAACAGCGCAAUCCUCUUUCAGAGCCCAUAUCGACAAGAGGGUUUACGACCUCGAUGUUGGAUCAGGACAUCCUAAUGGUGCAGCCGCUAUUAAGGGUUCGUUU